ACUGCCACAUAAACAUUCUAUUAUAUAUGGAGGUUGAUCAUUGUUUACAUUGAUUAAUUUAAUUGUACAUGGAGCUUCCAGCUGGAUACAAAUUUAUGCCUACAGAUGAAGAAUUGGUGCUACAUUUGUUUAACAAAGUUUUUGGGAAACCACUUCCGGCUGAGGGGAUUCAAGAGAUCGUUGCUAGUAAACUUUUUGAGAAGCCUCCAAAGAGCUUAGGUGACUAAUUUAAUUUGUAUAUUUUCUGUGUUUUUUGUUAGUGUUUUAUCUUUGCAUGUGAACGUGUAUAGAUCUAUUGAAAAGAUACUAUGGAGAGCACAGGGUAGGAUAUGCAAGAAUUUUUUUUUCAACAGGUUAACCCGCUUUGCAAAAACUUUGAGCCUGAAGAAAAUGGUGGAUUAGAUUCGAUUCAUUUCAUUUCAUUCGAAACGGGAUGCCAUAGUGACAUGGUCAAGUGGGGAAAAGGAGAAGUAUUUCUUCAUUCGUGAUGAUGAAAAUAUACCUUGUGAAAGUGAAAUUAUUCGGAUAGUUGGAAAUGGAAUUGGAUUCUGGAAAUCAAGCGGAGAAGAGAAACCCAUCUCAGUAAAAGGAUUUGUCUUUGCUUUCAUAAAACAUCUUAUUUAUUUCUCUGGAAGUUUUUCAGAAGCAAAGAAAACACAUUGGAAGAUGGACUUGUAUCGCUUACCCACCCAAUUUUACACCAAGUUUCAGGCGACAAAUUGGGAAUUAGGGAGAAUGAGAAGAGGAAUAGACUACACGAGCUGUUAUUAAUUCUCUUCAUUGCAUAUAAUUAUUUCAAUGUUUGGUGCAAAUUGAAAGAAUUAUUUAUUCAUCAAUUUGAACCGCAUCAAUUAUUCAUCCAGUACAUAAAAUUAAUUUUUUAA